rnacentral:rRNA from 1 species
AGCGUAGGCGGCGUGGUAAGUCAGAUGUGAAAUCCCGGGGCUUAACCCCGGAACUGCAUCCGAUACUGCCGUGCUAGAGGAUUGGAGAGGUAGCUGGAAUUCACGGUGUAGCAGUGAAAUGCGUAGAUAUCGUGAGGAACACUCGUGGCGAAAGCGAGCUACUGGACAACUCCUGACGCUGAGGCUCGAAGGCCAGGGUAGCGAAAG